AAUGAACGCUGGCGGCGCGCCUAAUACAUGCAAGUCGAGCGAGAAGACGUAGCAAUACGUUUGUAAAGCGGCGAACGGGUGAGGAAUACAUGGGUAACCUACCCUAGAGUGGGGAAUAACUAGCCGAAAGGUUAGCUAAUACCGCGUACGCUCCUUGGACUUCGGUUCAGGGAGGAAAGCGAUGCCGAGGGUAUCGCGCUCUUGGAUGGGCUCAUGUCCUAUCAGCUUGUUGGGAGGUAACGGCUCACCAAGGCUUCGACGGGUAGCUGGUCUGAGAGGACGAUCAGCCACACUGGCACUGCGACACGGGCCAGACUCCUACGGGAGGCAGCAGUAAGGAUAUUGCGCAAUGGGCGAAAGCCUGACGCAGCGACGCCGCGCGGGGGAGUGAAGGUC
rnacentral:rRNA from 1 species